rnacentral:rRNA from 1 species
AACGUAGGUGGCGAGCGUUAUCCGGAUUUACUGGGCGUAAAGGGUGUGCAGGCGGGCUGUUAAGUGGUGCAUGAAAUCUCCGCGCUUAACGUGGAGAGGCUGUGCCAGACUGGCAGUCUAGAGUACGAGAGAGGGUUGUGGAAUUCCUGGUGUAGCGGUGAAAUGCGUAGAUAUCUGGAGGAAUACCGGUGGCGAAGGCGGCAUCCUGGACCGGCAUUGACGCUGAGGAGCGAAAGCCAGGGGAGCAAACGGG